rnacentral:rRNA from 1 species
GAUCCUGGCUCAGAUUGAACGCUGGCGGCAGGCCUAACACAUGCAAGUCGAACGGUAACAGGAAGCAGCUUGCUGCUUUGCUGACGAGUGGCGGACGGGUGAGUAAUGUCUGGGAAACUGCCUGAUGGAGGGGGAUAACUACUGGAAACGGUAGCUAAUACCGCAUAACGUCGCAAGACCAAAGAGGGGGGACCUUCGGGGCCUCUUGCCAUCGGAUGUGCCCAGAUGGGAUUAGCUAGUAGGG